rnacentral:rRNA from 1 species
AACCUUUACACUGCACGACAGUGCGAUAAGGGAAUCCCAAGUGCGUAGGCAUAGAGCCUACGCUUUUGUCCACCGUAGGGAGGUGGACGAAUAAGGGCUGGGCAAGACCGGUGCCAGCCGCCGCGGUAAUACCGGCAGCCCGAAUGAUGGCCGAUCUUAUUGGGCCUAAAGCGUCCGUAGCUGGCCGCGCAAGUCUAUCGGAAAAUCCACCCGCUCAACGGGUGGGCGUCCGGUAGAAACUGCGUGGCUUGGGACCGGAAGGCGCGACGGGUACGUCCGGGGUAGGAGUGAAAUCCCGUAAUCCUGGACGGACCGCCGAUGGCGAAAGCACGUCGCGAAGACGGAUCCGACAGUGAGGGACGAAAGCUAGGGUCUCGAACCGGAUUAGAUACCCGGGUAGUCCUAGCCGUAAACAAUGCCUGCUAGGUGUGGCUCCCACUACGAGUGGGUGCUGUGCCGUAGGGAAGCCGCUAAGCAGGCCGCCUGGGAAGUACGUCCGCAAGGAUGAAACUUAA